GGGCCCGCACAAGCGGUGGAGCAUGUGGUUUAAUUCGACGAUACGCGAAAAACCUUACCAGCUCUUGACAUGGGGAUUUUGGACCUUGGAGACAAGGUUCUUCGGUUCGGCCGGGUCCCACACAGGUGCUGCAUGGCUGUCGUCAGCUCGUGUCGUGAGAUGUUGGGUUAAGUCCCGCAACGAGCGCAACCCUUGUCCCUAGUUGCUAACAGGUUAUGCUGAGAACUUUAGGGAGACUGCCGGUGACAAACUGGAGGAAGGUGUGGAUGACGUCAAGUCAUCAUGCCCCUUACAUCCUGGGCUACACACGUACUACAAUGCUACGGACAAAGAGCAGCAAGUUCGCGAGGACAAGCAAAUCUCAUAAACCGUGGCUCAGUUCAGAUCGUAGGCUGCAACUCGCCUACGUGAAGGAGGAAUC
rnacentral:rRNA from 1 species